rnacentral:rRNA from 1 species
CCUACGGGAGGCAGCAGUCGAGAAUCAUGCACAAUGGGGGAAACCCUGAUGGGGCGACGCCGCGUGGGGGAAUGAAGGUCUGCGGAUUGUAAACCUCUGUCAUGUGGGAGCAAGCUUGCGUGCGUGAACGCGCGUCGAGAGUACCCGGAGAAAAAGCAUCGGCUAACUCCGUGCCAGCAGCCGCGGUAAUAGGGAGGAUGCGAGCGUUAGCCGGAUUUAUUGGGUUUAAGGGGUGCGUAGGCGGGAUGCCAAGUCCGCGGUAAAAAUGAGGUGCUCAACGCCUUCGAGCCGUUGAAACUGGCGUUCUUGAGUGCGCGAGAAGUAUGCGGAAUGCGUGGUGUAGCGGUGAAAUGCAUAGAUAUCACGCAGAACUCCGAUUGCGAAGGCAGCAUACCGGCGCCCUACUGACGCUGAGGCACGAAAGCGUGGGUAUCGAACAGGAUUAGAUACCCCUGUAGUC